GAAGUAGCAGGCCAGAUCGUAAAUUCUCACAGCAAGAGGCCUCAGAGCAGGUGACACGAUCGUGUACGAUUGGCAGCUAAUAAAUCCAGUGGCAGCUAGGGAGUUGGGCCUACGGAAUCGUGUCAGCACUUGGCUGAAGACGGGCAUAACUUUCGGUUUUCAUGGGCAUGUAACCAGUAGGAGCUGGUGGCUCAAAUCCCCAUUUUGAGCUCGGUCUCGUGGGCUUCUGAUUUUUAUGAAGUUAACCGACAAUACGAACUCUGCAUUUCAAACAAUUUGGACGCAAUCCGAAUAUUAAUUUACCAAAAACAAAAGUAUUAAAAUAUUGAUGGAACGUAUAGCUUUUCUCACUCCAAUUUAAAGAUGUGCCUUCGACCACUUAAAUAUCCAUUUGUUUCAGCAUUCCUCUACACAAAA